UCCCAGCCGCGGCCCCUUUAAGAGGGGGUGGUGCUUCAGCCUGGCGCCAGGGACGCUGCCAGCAUGCAGGCCCCGACGGAAGCCGAGACUGCGCUUCGUGCGAGGCCCGGGCAGCAUCGGCGGCGUGGUCAGAGCGAGUCUCGGAGAAGAUGUGGUGGCUUCCGUUUGUUGGUGGAGGAGGUGGCAGGCCUCGGCGGGUAACCCAGAGAACACAGCCGAAGUGGAAUGUGGGGACGUCUGCGACACCGGGGACAGAGCAACUGUGGAUGAAGAGGGCUACAUCUGGUUCCUGGGGAGGAGUCAUGACACUAUCAAUGCCUCUGGGUACGGCAUUGGGCUACAGAGGUGCAGCGUGCUUUGGUGGACCACCCAGUGGUGGCAGAGUCAGCCACGAUGAGGAAAGAGGAGCAGAAGGAAGUUAAGUAAUCUGUCCACAUCACACAGCUACUAAGGGGUGGAGCCAGAAUGGCAUUUCAGCAACGUGGCUGAAGAACAUACGUGCAUUUGUUUAUUAAAAAGUGUUUAUUGAGCACCUUCUAUAUGCAAGGCCUUGUACAAUAAAAU
rnacentral:lncRNA from 1 species